rnacentral:rRNA from 1 species
UAGUAAAAUUUUAAAGGUACAUCCUGCCCUAUGAAUAGUUAAAUGGCUGCAGUAUUUUGACUGUGCAAAGGUAGCAUAAUAAUUAGUCUUUUAAUUGGAGGCUUGUAUGAACGGAAUAAUGAGAAAUUAGUUUUAUUUUUGAUAUUUUUAUAAUUUAAUUUUUGUGUAAAAAAGCUUAAUUUUUUUUCUGGGACGAUAAGACCCUAUAGAACUUUACUAUUAAUUUUUUUUAAUUAAAUUUAGUCUUUUUUUUAUUAAAUAUUAUUAUUAUUUUGGUUGGGGUGACAAAUAAAUUUUACUUUAUUUAUAGGUUUCAUUUUAUUAAUGUAUUUUUGAUCCAUUUUUGAUUAUAAGAUAAAGUUACCUUAGGGAUAACAGCGUAAUUUUAGUGGGGAGUUCAUAUUUAUACUAAAGUUUGCGACCUCGAUGUUGAAUUAAGAUUAGAUUUUGGGGCAG